UGUGAAUUGCAGAAUUCAGUGAAUCAUCGAAUCUUUGAACGCACCUUGCGCUCCUUGGUAUUCCGAGGAGCAUGCCUGUUUGAGUGUCAUUAAAUUCUCAACCUUUAUUAACUUUUGUGGUUAGUAAAUGGAUUGGAAGUGGAGGUUAUGUUGGUUUCUUUAUUGAAAUGAACUCCUCUGAAAUGCAUUAGCUGGUUGCCUUGUGCGAACAUGUCUAUUGGUGUGAUAAUUAUCUACGCUGURGACUGUUUGCCAUUUAUAGCACUGCUUAUAACUGUCUGUUCAUUCAGACAACAUAUGACAAUUUGACCUCAAAUCAGGUAGGACUACCCGCUGAACUUAA
rnacentral:rRNA from 1 species